rnacentral:rRNA from 1 species
AGAUUGAACGCUGGCGGCAGGCCUAACACAUGCAAGUCGAGCGGUAGAGAGGUGCUUGCACCUCUUGAGAGCGGCGGACGGGUGAGUAAUGCCUAGGAAUCUGCCUAGUGGUGGGGGAUAACGUUCGGAAACGGACGCUAAAUACCGCAUACGUCCUACGGGAGAAAGCGGGGGACCUUCGGGCCUCGCGCCAUUAGAUGAGCCUAGGUCGGAUUAGCUAGUUGGUGAGGUAAUGGCUCACCAAGGCGACGAUCCGUAACUGGUCUGAGAGGAUGAC